rnacentral:rRNA from 1 species
CCUACGGGAGGCAGCAGUGGGGAAUAUUGGUCAAUGGACGGAAGUCUGAACCAGCCAUGCCGCGUGUAUGAAGAAGGCUUUAUGAGUGGUAAACACUUUUUGUACAAGGGAAAACCUGAAGACGUGUAUUCAGCUGAAAGUACGGUACGAAUAAGGAAAGGCUAACUCCGUGCCAGUAGCCGCGGUAAUACGGAGGAUACAAGCGUUAUCCGGAUUUACUGGGGUGAAAGGGUGCGUCGGCGUAUUGAUAAGUUAGAGGGGAAAUGUCCGAGCUUAACUCGGGAACUGCAUCUAAUACUGGUGAGCUAGAGAGCAGAUGCGGUGGGCAGAAUGUAAGGUGUAGCGGUGAAAUGCUUAGAGAU